rfam:Clohesyomyces aquaticus strain CBS 115471 BCR34scaffold_212, whole genome shotgun sequence.
GACACGAUGGCCGAGUGGUCUAAGGCGGCAGAUUUAAGUUCAUCUGGAACUCUGCUAUCGAAAGAUGCGUGAGUUCAAACCUCACUCGUGUCA